AUUGAACGCUGGCGGCAUGCCUUACACAUGCAAGUCGAACGGCAGCACGGGAGCAAUCCUGGUGGCGAGUGGCGAACGGGUGAGUAAUGUAUCGGAACGUGCCCAUUCGUGGGGGAUAACGUAGCGAAAGCUACGCUAAUACCGCAUACGAUCUAUGGAUGAAAGCGGGGGAUCGCAAGACCUCGCGCGAUUGGAGCGGCCGAUAUCAGAUUAGGUAGUUGGUGGGGUAAAGGCUCACCAAGCCGACGAUCUGUAGCUGGUCUGAGAGGACGACCAGCCACACUGGGACUGAGACACGGCCCAGACUCCUACGGGAGGCAGCAGUGGGGAAUUUUGGACAAUGGGCGCAAGCCUGAUCCAGCAAUGCCGCGUGCAGGAUGAAGGCCUUCGGGUUGUAAACUGCUUUUGUACGGAACGAAACGGCGAGCUCUAAUACAGUUUGCUAAUGACGGUACCGUAAGAAUAAGCACCGGCUAUCUACGUGCCAGCAGCCGCAGUAA
rnacentral:rRNA from 1 species